rnacentral:tRNA from 1 species
GGGAGUAUGCCUCAACUAGUAGAGUGUCUGCCUAGUAAGUACAAAGCCCUGAGUUCAAACCUCAGUACCAUUA